UACGUAGGGUGCAAGCGUUAUCCGGAAUUAUUGGGCGUAAAGAGCUCGUAGGCGGUUUGUCACGUCUGCUGUGAAAACUGGAGGCUCAACCUCCAGCCUGCAGUGGGUACGGGCAGACUAGAGUGCGGUAGGGGAGAUUGGAAUUCCUGGUGUAGCGGUGGAAUGCGCAGAUAUCAGGAGGAACACCGAUGGCGAAGGCAGGUCUCUGGGCCGAAACUGACGCUGAGGAGCGAAAGCGUGGGUAGCAAACAGG
rnacentral:rRNA from 1 species